GAUGAACGCUGGCGGCGUGCUUAACACAUGCAAGUCGAACGAGAAGUGGAGACGGAAACCUUCGGGCGGAAGACUUUAUUUCGAGUGGCGGACGGGUGAGUAACGCGUGGGUAACCUGCCUCAUACAGGGGGAUAACAGUUGGAAACGACUGUUAAUACCGCAUAAGACCACAGCACCGCAUGGUGCGGGGGUAAAAACUCCGGUGGUAUGAGAUGGACCCGCGUUCGAUUAGCCAGUUGGCGGGGUAACGGCCCACCAAAGCGACGAUCGAUAGCCGAUCUGAGAGGAUGACCGGCCACAUUGGGACUGAGACACGGCCCAAACUCCUACGGGAGGCAGCAGUGGGGAAUAUUGCACAAUGGGGGAAACCCUGAUGCAGCGACGCCGCGUGAGUGAAGAAGUAUUUCGGUAUGUAAAGCUCUAUCAGCAGGGAAGAAAAU
rnacentral:rRNA from 1 species